GCUCUGGUGGCUCAAUCGGAUAGAGCGUUGGACUUCUAAUCCAAACGUUGCGGGUUCAAGUCCCGUCCGGAGUA
rfam:Perkinsus marinus ATCC 50983 gcontig_1104296140516, whole genome shotgun sequence.